rnacentral:rRNA from 1 species
UGCAAGUCGAGCGGACAGAUGGGAGCUUGCUCCCUGAUGUNAGCGGCGGACGGGUGAGUAACACGUGGGUAACCUGCCUGUAAGACUGGGAUAACUCCGGGAAACCGGGGCUAAUACCGGAUGCUUGAUUGAACCGCAUGGUUCAAUUAUAAAAGGUGGCUUUUAGCUACCACUUACAGAUGGACCCGCGGCGCAUUAGCUAGUUGGUGAGGUAACGGCUCACCAAGGCAACGAUGCGUAGCCGACCUGAGAGGGUGAUCGGCCACACUGGGACUGAGACACGGCCCAGACUCCUACGGGAGGCAGCAGUAGGGAAUCUUCCGCAAUGGACGAAAGUCUGACGGAGCAACGCCGCGUGAGUGAUGAAGGUUUUCGGAUCGUAAAACUCUGUUGUUAGGGAAGAACAAGUACCGUUCGAAUAGGGCGGUACCUUGACGGUACCUAACCAGAAAGCCACGGCUAACUACGUGCCAGCAGCCGCGGUAAUACGUAGGUGGCAAGCGUUGUCCGGAAUUAUUGGGCGUAAAGCGCGCGCAGGCGGUUUCUUAAGUCUGAUGUGAAAGCCCCCGGCUCAACCGGGGAGGGUCAUUGGAAACUGGGGAACUUGAGUGCAGAAAAGGAGAGUGGAAUUCCACGUGUAGCGGUGAAAUGCGUAGAGAUGUGGAGGAACACCAGUGGCGAAGGCGACUCUCUGGUCUGUAACUGACGCUGAGGCGCGAAAGCGUGGGGAGCGAACAGGAUUAGAUACCCUGGUAGUCCACGCCGUAAACGAUGAGUGCUAAGUGUUAGAGGGUUUCCGCCCUUUAGUGCUGCAGCAAACGCAUUAAGCACUCCGCCUGGGGAGUACGGUCGCAAGACUGAAACUCAAAGGAAUUGACGGGGGCCCGCACAAGCGGUGGAGCAUGUGGUUUAAUUC